CUGCGUAAACCUGUUGUCCCGGAGGAAGUGGCUGGAAAGCGAACUGCGCGAAGCGGGUCCGGCCGGCGCUGGCCGGCACCCGCAACUCGGCGCCCAGAGGCACUAAGCGCGGGGGGCGUAUGCUAGCAUGUUCUCCCU
rfam:Pseudomonas aeruginosa PAO1, complete genome.